rnacentral:rRNA from 1 species
GUAGGUGGCAAGCGUUGUCCGGGAAUUAUUGGGGCGUAAAGCGCGCGCAGGCGGUUCUUUAAGUCUGAUGUGAAAGCCCAGGGCUCAACCGUGGAGGGUCAUUGGAAACUGGAGAACUUGAGUACAGAAGAGGAAAGCGGAAUUCCACGUGUAGCGGUGAAAUGCGUAGAGAUGUGGAGGAACACCAGUGGCGAAGGCGGCUUUCUGGUCUGUAACUGACGCUGAGGCGCGAAAGCGUGGGGAGCAAACAGGAUUAGAUACCCUGGUAGUCCACGCCGUAAACGAUGAGUGCUAAGUGUUAGGGGGUUUCCGCCCCUUAGUGCUGCAGCUAACGCAUUAAGCACUCCGCCUGGGGAGUACGGCCGCAAAGGCUGA